rnacentral:tRNA from 1 species
GUAGACGUUAGCUCAGUGGUUAGAGCACAGGCCUCUGGCUCUGGGUCAGCGAGUUCGAGUCCCGUCGUCUACU